UAUAAUUUACUAGGAUUUGAGGUAGUAUAUUGUAACAUCAAUAAUGAAAAAACCACACUAUAAGAAUGAAGAGGAAUGAAGGAGAUGGAGUGUACUGAAGAAAUACCUACCUAUGUUACUUAUACCUAUCUUACCCUACAUGGUGACCUUAGCCAUGAUUCAGUUUCAGAAGUUUCGAUGAGUGAUACGAUCUCAUAUAUUUAUGUACGAGCACAUCUAAUAGUCAUUGCAAGAAAACUCGUCCCUAUUACCGCGGAAUAAAAAAGCCAGGUGGCAAUGCCAACCCA